UAAGUACAAGUUGACUUCUGAAGACAUGGCUAUGGAGAGGAGCCAUUCUGACAAACUAGAGAAAGCACCUGGAAACUUAACAGAAUACAACCGGAAUCUCUCCAGAAACUCACUAAGCAGCAGUCACCAAGUUGCAGAUGCUGCUAUGAUUCCAUGCUGACCUCCCUGGGCGGAAGACCUCACCAAAGUGUCCCAGAACUUCCCCUCCCCAGAGCCCUGCCCCACUAGGGAAAGACAGACACAGGCUGUGGGGGGUGUGGGUCCACGUGCCAACAUCCAUGUUCAGCAGAGAAGCCAUGACAGAAGCCAGAACUCCCACCUUCGGCUCCCCAUAAGGAAUUCUGGUCCAGACUCCCAGAGAGGGAGAAAUGUCAGGGGAAGAUGCCCAGAGGGCUCUCAGCUCUAAUUUCAUCAGGACCCAGAGAGAAAGAGAGGGGAAAAGGGAAACAGCCAGAGGUGGUAACAGGUCUAGGUGUGACUUAGAAAGAACGAGAAAUCAGGACCAUAGGAUAAAUGGGCAAAUAUAUACAAGUACAGAUAGUUACAGAAAUAAUAGUUAACCCCUAUCCGUGACCUUGGGAGAACCACUGCCGUUUCCAAUGGGGGAGAGUGGGGACACAGAACUCUGGGGGCGGGAACAGUGUGGGAUUAGACUCCUGUUAUCUUAUCAUUUAUAAAUCAAUAUUAAAUCAUUAACAAAAUGUAAAUAGAUAAAUGUUGGUCUGCUGAGGCCUCAUGCAUUUUAACUUUAUUUUGGACCGAGACAGAGAGAAGUUGAAGGUGAAGAAGGAAAGAGGCACACCUCCAGCCCUGCUUCACCUUCUUGUGAAGUUGCCCCGACCUCUCCCACAGCAGGGAGUGGCUGGUGGAAACAGCGCAGCUGGUAGAAGGCGGGAUCUACGUGCCUGAGGCUCCAGGUUCGAUCCCUAGUGCUGCAUGUGCCGCCGUGGUGUUCUGCUUCCUGCGACACUCUAUCCUAUAUGAAACAAAUAAAAUCAAUCUUGAGGAAAUUAAAAAAA